ACAACAUGCCCGAGCGGUGCGUUGCAGGAUAGAACUGCUCAAACACCAGGGAGAGCGGUUUCACACUGCAUCGCUUUCCAAAAGACCCUGAAUUGAACUUGCUGUGGACACGGCAAGUUCGCAGGACGAGAACUGAUCAGGAACACCGUGGAAGCCAAGCUCAACCUCUGUACUGUGUUCUGCACAUUUUCUGGAUAAAUGUUACGACUCGACCCCGGCUAUGAAGGAGCAACUUGGAAUUGAUGUUCGUCUGAAGAGGGUUUUGCGGCCCAAAUCAGUGCCGAGCAUAUUCCCUCGGGGGACAAGCUCGAGGGGGGCGAGCGGCACCGACGCCAGCUGCAGGGGGUCUCGUGCUCUGGAGAAAAGGCAGCGGCUGGAGAUACUCCAGGAAUGCCAGUCUGAGUAGGCCUAUGUUGCUGCAGAGGAAAGAGAUGGCUUCACUGCUGACGGGGUCCCAUCAAUUGAUGUGUCAAGAAGAAGUUGCAGAGCCUUGGUCAAACCAGAGGUUGCCAGGAUGUCAAACCCUGGGUGGGAAGUAUAAUAAACCAUCUGUACUGGGCUGUGGUCUCGACGCCUCCUGGCAAUGUUCAACUUGUGGUGGACAAAUGGACGUCAGUUAUGGAUCACAUCCACAACAGGCAUACCGGAUUCGAGGGACUGUUCUCUUCUUGUGCGCACAGAGUCUUGGAAGGCAGGGAAUAGCCUGUGUCACUUUUCAUACAAAGGGAUGGAGAGCAGGCUAUGCUGAAGAGCUGAUGCGGAUGGUGGAGGCCAUGUGUCGAGGUGAGGACUACAGCUGUGAUGACUUUGACAUUCCAGACCUAUCCCCUGUUCCAGAGCCAUUGAGCGCAUCAUGUGAAAAGCCGGAUAAGAGGGCAGCAGUCAGUACACACACACACACAACACGCUUUAGCGCCACAAACAACCCUUCAAUACAUUACCAAAAGUUUGAUGCAGGUAAUUCCAAAACCACAGUACAGGGUGUGUUUGUGAAGGACACUUUUUUUCUCUCUUUUUUUCACACUUAUGCAUACAAAUGGUUCCAACUCAGGUGACUUAUCUGAGUAAAAAGUAGACCAAUGUACUUGUCGUAUGUUCAGCUGAUUCUCCACUGGUUGGAUUGAGUUUGCGGUGAUAGUAUGUGUAGCUCUGCUCCAGCAGGGGGCGCCAAAGCUACACACACACCAUCUGGUGUGAACCAGGCCAGGUCCUUGUUAGGUUUUUAGUGUUUUUUUUAGUAAUGACAGUCUCACUGUACAUAAGGUACAAUCAUACAUGGUGUUACAGUUAUGUAUUAUGUGCUACUGUUGUAAUUACACCACAAAUGUACUCAUACUUUUGUUUAAAAUUGGACAGAGCUGGACUGCAUGUAAUAAACACAUUUAUUUUCAUAUUUUCUGUGAGUGCAUUGAUCUACUGUGUUGGGAACCACCUGCUCCAUCCUCUCCUUGGGGUUCUGAAAAAGGUUAUUACAGGGUGUGUAAUAUUAGCUUUAGUCAUUUGAGAUGGAGAGACCUUGAGGUGAUAUUUUGAAUAUCCUACCCACUCAUUUCAUGUCUGUGUUGCUACAGUGCCCCCCAAUACCCAUGUGGGCUUUCAUUGUAUUGUCCCAGAAGUACUGCACAACAUCUUGGACACCACAUGAUAAAGACUACUAGAUAAGCUUCCAUGGUGAAGGUGUAAGUUGUCAGUUUGCUAGCAAAAAUGCCCAAGUAAUUUUAUGGGGCAAAAUGAGAUUUU